AGUCCAUGGUGGGGACAUAAACUUAGCGUUUUCAUAAAUUUCUUCCAUGCUUUGCAUAGAAAUUCCCCCUUGUGUUGAGUUAAAUUGGUUGUUUAGUUUCUAAGUUU